CAGCCGUAAACUAUGCGCGUUAGGUGUACUGGUGACCACGAGUCACCGGGGUGCCGAAGGGAAACCGUGAAACGUGCCGCCUGGGAAGUACGGUCGCAAGGCUGAAACUUAAAGGAAUUGGCGGGGGAGCACCACAACGGGUGGGAGCCUGCGGUUUAAUUUGGACUCAACGCCGGAAAUCUCACCGGAUAGGACAGACAUAUGAUAGUCGGGCUGAAGACUCUACUUGAUGAUCUGAGAGGAGGUGCAUGGCGUCAGUGACU
rnacentral:rRNA from 1 species